GGUUGUAAAGCACUUUCAGUAGGGAGGAAAGGGUGUAGUUUAAUACGCUAUAUCUGUGACGUUACCUACAGAAGAAGGACCGGCUAACUCCGUGCCAGCAGCCGCGGUAAUACGGAGGGUCCGAGCGUUAAUCGGAAUUACUGGGCGUAAAGCGUGCGCAGGCGGUUUGUUAAGCGAGAUGUGAAAGCCCUGGGCUCAACCUAGGAAUAGCAUUUCGAACUGGCGAACUAGAGUCUUGUAGAGGGGGGUAGAAUUCCAGGUGUAGCGGUGAAAUGCGUAGAGAUCUGGAGGAAUACCGGUGGCGAAGGCGGCCCCCUGGACAAAGACUGACGCUCAUGCACGAAAGCGUGGGGAGCAAACAGGAUUAGAUACCCUGGUAGUCCACGCCGUAAACGAUGUCUACUCGGAGUUUGGUGUCUUGAACACUGGGCUCUCAAGCUAACGCAUUAAGUAGACCGCCUGGGGAGUACGGCCGCAAGGUUAAAACUCAAAUGAAUUGACGGGGGCCCGCACAAGCGGUGGAGCAUGUGGUUUAAUUCGAUGCAACGCGAAGAACCUUACCUACUCUUGACAUCCAGAGAAUUCGCUAGAGAUAGCU
rnacentral:rRNA from 2 species